UACGUAGGGUGCGAGCGUUACUCGGAAUUACUGGGCGUAAAGUGUGCGCAGGCGGCCGCGCAAGUCGAGUGUGAAAGCCCCGAGCUUAACUUGGGAAUUGCGCUCGAAACUACGUGGCUGGAGUGUGGCAGAGGAAGGUGGAAUUCCACGUGUAGCGGUGAAAUGCGUAGAGAUGUGGAGGAACACCAAUGGCGAAGGCAGCCUUCUGGGCCAACACUGACGCUCAUGCACGAAAGCGUGGGGAGCAAACAGG
rnacentral:rRNA from 1 species